rnacentral:rRNA from 1 species
AGUGAACGCUGGCGGUAGGCCUAACACAUGCAAGUCGAACGGCAGCACAGUAAGAGCUUGCUCUUACGGGUGGCGAGUGGCGGACGGGUGAGGAAUACAUCGGAAUCUACUUUUUCGUGGGGGAUAACGUAGGGAAACUUACGCUAAUACCUCAUACGACCUACGGUUGAAAGCAGGGGUUCUUCGGACAUUGCGCUCUCUAAUAAGCCGAUGUCGGAUGAGCUAGUUGGCUGGUGAAAGGCCCACCAAGGCGACGAUCCGUAGCUAGUCUGAGAGGAUGAUCAGCCAAACUGGAACUGAGACACGGUCCAGACUCCUAGGGGAGGAAGCAGUGGGGAAUAUUGGACAAUGGGCGAAAGCCUGAUCCAGACAUACCGCGUGGGUGAAGAAGGCCUUCGGGUUGUAAAGCCCUUUUGUUGGGAAAGAAAAGCAGCAGGUUAAUACCCCGCUGUUCUGACGGUACCCAAAGAAUAAGCACCGGCUAACUUCGUG